rnacentral:rRNA from 1 species
UACAGAGGGGGCAAGCGUUGUUCGGAAUUACUGGGCGUAAAGGGCGCGUAGGCGGCCUGCUAAGUCGAACGUGAAAUCCCUGGGCUCAACCCAGGAACUGCGUCCGAUACUGGUUGGCUUGAAUCCGGGAGAGGGAUGUGGAAUUCCAGGUGUAGCGGUGAAAUGCGUAGAUAUCUGGAGGAACACCGGUGGCGAAGGCGACAUCCUGGACCGACAUUGACGCUGAGGAGCGAAAGCCAGGGGAGCAAACGGG